rnacentral:rRNA from 1 species
GAUGAACGCUGGCGGCGUGCUUAACACAUGCAAGUCGAGCGGACAGACGAGGCUCUUGUGGCUCGGACGAGUGGGGCGGACGUGUGAGUAACACGUGUAUCAUGCACCUGUAAUACUGGGAUAACCUGGGGAAACCGGAUCUAAUACCGUAUAAGAUAUUGAACCGCGUGGGGCAAUGGUGAAAUACGGUGGUUGUGUCUGGUAUAGCGGCAUCCGGGCCGCAUUGGCUGGUUGGGAAGGUAAAGGCUUACGAAGGCAAGGAUGCGUAGCCGAACUGUGAGGGUGAUAGGCCGCACUGGAAGUGAGCCACGCACAAGACUCCUACGGGAGGCCGCAGUCUGGAACCUUCCGCAACGGGGGAAAGCCUGACGCAGCGACGCCGAGUGAGUGAUGGCGGUCUUCGGAUCGUAAAACUGUGCUAUUAGGGAAAAACAAAUUUGUAAGUAACUAUACCCGUCUUGACGGUACCUGAUAAGAAAGCACCGGCUAACUACGUG